AUGAGGUGGACAUCAAGAUCCUGCCGAUUUGGGUUGGAGCAAAUCCUCACUGGUGGAUGGUGCGGACUGAUGGCGCCUGCUAAGCUUGGCUGUGGCGGCCGUAGACCUGUUAUGGAGCCGGCUUAUUGCGGUCGAUGGCCUGGUUCUCGUGCAUCGCCAGUGACCUUUCUGGCUGAAGGGCAACCUACUAUUUCCUCCUGGCCAGGAUGCCAUAUGGCAGGCAGUUGCACCUUCGUCUCGGAGUUCAUGGAGUGCUGCUGCAACCAUGAAGUCGUCGCCGCCCCAAGUGGUCCGUCCCCGGUGACGGCGAAGCUCGAUCUGAGGGGAAGCUGUGUUGGACCCAAUUGCAGUUCUAUCUUAUAG
rnacentral:rRNA from 1 species